UCAAUGUGGUGUGCGUUGUGUGUUGCGUUUGUGGGAUGAUGUUGAAUUUUUUUACAGUUUAAGUAUUGACAAGUGUUAAUUAAUAUUGUUUCAUUAAAUUUUACUUUGUCUGGUUUGUAUCUUGUCAUCUGUUAUCAUGAUGCCCGGGGAGACUCACUCUCAAACAGCGGGAAUCGCUUUGGACGCAACGAUAGGAAUUUGUCAGAACUGUACUGCAUUACAGCAGAAUUUAAACGAAUAUGUAGCUGCAAUACUAGCACUGAAGCAAAAGAUAAUUGACACAGAUCACCUGUUAACCGAGUACCAGCGGAAGUGUGAUGAUAUCCUUUCUGAAAUCUGUUAAUAUUAGUUUAAGAAAUAAUAUGUAGAGGAUAUUGAGUGAUCAUUCAUGUUAUAUGGUUUUUAUUUGCCGCAGGAGGAUGUCACAGUAAAUCGCAAGCUCUGACAGGCGAGUGGUUUGUAAUAUUCUGUUUAUAUCACAAGUAUAUUUGUUUUUGAUAGCCUAAAGUUCAUUGUAAUUGUAGCUCAUGCUGCACAGUGUUGUGCAUUUGAUGAGUACAUAUUUAUCAGCAAACUCCACCAGUGAGUGCUUAAGAAUAAAAAAAAAAAUUCCCAACUAAAACCAGUACUGCAUAGAGUAUUUUCAUUUGCAUUUUAAAUUAAAA